GGGGGCAUAGCUCAGUUGGGAGAGCAGCAGACUGAAGUGAGUUCUUCUGAAGGUCCCGCGUUCAAUCCGCGGUGCCCCCA